GGGUCAGUAGGUUGGUCGUGCCACCGGUACGUACUGGUCUCACUGAUUCCUCCUUCCUGAAGAACCGUAAUGCCAUUAAUUUGGUGUUGCGGGGAAACAGGACUGUUACUUUGGAAAAAAUUAGAGUGUUUAAAGCAAGCUAACGCUUGAAUACAUUAGCAUGGAAUAAUGAAAUAGGACGAUCGAUCCUAUUUUGUUGGUUUCUAGGAUUGACGUA
rnacentral:rRNA from 1 species